CCUAUACAUGCAGUCGAGCGAAUGGAUUAAGAGCUUGCUCUUAUGAAGUUAGCGGCGGACGGGUGAGUAACACGUGGGUAACCUGCCCAUAAGACUGGGAUAACUCCGGGAAACCGGGGCUAAUACCGGAUAACAUUUUGAACCGCAUGGUUCGAAUUGAAGGGGCUUCGGCUGUCACUUAUGGUGGACCCGCGUCGCAUUAGCUAGUUGGUGAGGUAACGGCUCACCAAGGCAACGAUGCGUAGCCGACCUGAGAGGGUGAUCGGCCACACUGGGACUGAGACACGGCCCAGACUCCUACGGGAGGCAGCAGUAGGGAAUCUUCCGCAAUGGACGAAAGUCUGACGGAGCAACGCCGCGUGAGUGAUGAAGGCUUUCGGGUCGUAAAACUCUGUUGUUAGGGAAGAACAAGUGCUAGUUGAAUAAGCUGGCACCUUGACGGUACCUAACCAGAAAGCCACGGCUAACUACGUGCCAGCAGCCGCGGUAAUACGUAGGUGGCAAGCGUUAUCCGGAAUUAUUGGGCGUAAAGCGCGCGCAGGUGGUUUCUUAAGUCUGAUGUGAAAGCCCACGGCUCAACCGUGGAGGGUCAUUGG
rnacentral:rRNA from 1 species